AAUAACAGUAACGUUCUUCAUCAGUCAGUGAAUUACCAUAGUUUGCACUUGACUGCAUGUAUUAAAUGUGGUGUGUAAAAGAGGCUUUUCAAAUUUACUAUUUGGAUGAUAUUUUCCAUCAAACUAAAGAUGCCUAUUUUGCAAGAAAAAGUAACUUUUUCACGCCACUUUUUUGAACUGAAUAUCUAGAUUACAAUAUAACAAUUUAUCACGAAUUCCGUGUUGACAACGCCAUAUAAUCGGCACAUAUUUUACGCACGCUGUUCCGAUACAUAUUCGAUCUUUGUGUCAAAAAUGAAAAUAAAUAAAUAGAAAUAGUGGGAACAAUUAUUAGGCGACUGUAAUAUGGUCGGACUAUUAGCUAGGACAGUUAAGACUAAAAAUUGUCCCAGAUAGCAUAUAGGUUAUUUCGGUCUCGUAAACUGACAUACGGCCGGGAGAGUAGUAUGCUGACCACAUGCCCCUUCAUAUCCGCAUUCACCGACGCCUGUUUUUGAGGAUGACAUUGCGGCCGGUCUGUCCCGAAAUUGUACCGUUUAUUAAGGUUUCUGUUCAGCAUUGAAGAUAAUUCAAGAAGCUGUGCACAGUGGUCACUGAAACCUGUGUUGAAGUUUCUAGCUGCACAUUCAUGGCUUUCCUUUUUAUCAGUAUCAUAUUAAUAGUGGUGCUGGAUACACUUGUAACUCUGGUAGUGGAAUCUAUAAUUGGGAACAGGUGCCUGAUGCUGUGAAGGCUACCUUCAAGUUGGUUAAAGAAUAUUUUUAUGUUUGAGUUCGGACUCCUGUACAGGCAAAUGAUGAUUGUGAGUCUUUUUGUUGUGCCUAUCUGCGACUCAGCAUCUUCGCUGUAUGUUUCACAGGCUACAAACAAGUCUGUGAUGCCCAGACCAACAUCCUAGAACGAAGUACAGGGUCUGCUGUUCAACCACGGUACAGGGCAGCCUGCCCCGAGUCACGAAAGCAGCCGCCGCUGGAGCAGAGAGCCGCCCGCUCGCUGGAGGGAGGCCAAGGCUGCUCCCCUGGAAUUGUCAGCUGUGCUGCCUGCUGUCAUCAUGGUUGCAGCCAGAGACAUCACUAACAGCUGCAUUCGAAUGACACCAUACUCAGCCCUGCCCUCUGCACCAUCAGCAAUGCCAGACGUCUAUUGUUUUGCAUUAGGCAACUGUACACUUCCACCAAGUUGUUGCUGCUGUACUAUGGCCAAGGGCUGGAAUAAAGAGGAUAAUUAAACAAG